AGCCGUCGUCGCCCUCGGGGCCACUGCGUUACUUGGAUUAAAAAUACGUUUCCAGCUUUUGUUUUUACUUGUGUGUGUAUGUAUAUAUGUAUAUAAAAGACGGCU
rnacentral:miRNA from 1 species